rnacentral:lncRNA from 10 species
UGGUGAAUGGAUUGCGAGGGAACGUGACUGUAGGCUGGGACAGCUGUUAGAGGUGGUCGUAAUCUUCCAGGCGCGAGAUGAUGUGGACUGAAAUGGUGUGGAGACAGUCGGAGGGAACUGCGAGAUCAUUGGGUGUCAGACUGGGUUUGCAAACCUACGACUUCACUGAGAAGUGAGCAAAAUGAGUAACCUGUUCCCCUCAAGCAAUACAGAUAAUGUGGAGAGAUACUUGUUUCCACUGGAACUUCCUCCUCCACCGAAUCCGACUGCUGUACCUGUGUGGAUAGCCCAGCUGUUUCCACUCAAAAUAGUGGCAGAGCAAGUUUGCCACUCAGAUUCUUGAAUUGGGAGGAGGUGCUGGACAUGCUGCUUACCGCAUUGCUGGAGUGCAAGAUUAGCUGGUCUAUGCUCAGAGUGCCUGGGGCCUGAGUUUGCUGGAGAUGUGGUCUUAGGAUUCUCCGGGGAGGUGCUCUAGCAAGUUCACAAGGACACCAAGCAAUCUCCCAGACUUAGACUGUACACUGGCUGCUCUGGUACUGUUGCUGGAGCCUUCUCCUCUCUCCUCCCCUUCCCAAUAGUUCCCACUGCAAUAGGUGUAGCAGUGAUACAGACAGGAAAUGGAGGUGCUGUUGAUGCUGCUGCUGCACCCUUAAAAUUCUAUAGAACUUACAGGGUGUACUCUGGAAAAAUGAUUGCCAUAACCUUAUUCAUUGACUUAUUGGAUGAAAUAUGUACUGAGUGUCUACUAGGUGCCAGGCACUGUAAUAGGUUCACGGAAUAAAUCUGUUAAUAAAAUAAAGAGCCCUUCUCUUGCGGAGGUUUCAUUAUAGUGAGAGCUGACAAACAAUAAAUGUAAUAUUUUGACUCUUUUGAAGGACUUCACCCCCAAAUUUAGCCCAAUCCAUUCGGGAGGACGCAUCCCUCUCUCUUGAUGCCAGGUGUGGCCAGGGAGCCAGUGCUUGUCAAGAAAUCUAACCUCCUGCUGUUGCAGGGGCGUCUGUUCUUAUGACCUGGGUAGAGAGAGAGCAGAGCCAAUGAAUACGUACAGUGAUGUAUGUAAUAUGUGAGAAGGUGAAGGAUAUGGUAAAAGGGGAAAAACAGAGCAGAUUAAGUACACGUUAGACAUAGUUCCCGUUUCCAAUCAUCUGUAAACAGGGCAUUUCAUUCAAGGCCGUUCGGAUCUGGUCCAGACACUGGUGGAUCUACGUCUGAGAACGAGGGUAGUCGCCCAGGGCUAGGACACUGCUUGGAAAGGUGGG